GGAAAAAUAGGCGAACCUGUUUCCCUUGGUUUGGUGUUUUUUUUUUUCCUUUUUUUUUUUUUUUUUUUUGGGGGGGGGGCUGAUGCAACAACCCAAAUGAA
rnacentral:ribozyme from 16 species